UCAGGGGAAACCGAAAACCUGUUAACAGAGUAGGCU
ncrna:unclassified sequences DTF805b RNA